rnacentral:rRNA from 1 species
AUUGAACGCUGGCGGCAGGCCUAACACAUGCAAGUCGCACGAGUGGCGGACGGGUGAGUAAUGUCUGGGAAACUGCCUGAUGGCGGGGGAUAACUACUGGAAACGGUAGCUAAUACCGCAUACCAUCAGAUGUGCCCAGAUGGGAUUAGCUAGUUGGUGGGUGAACGGCUCACCAGGGCGACGAUCCCUAGCUGGUCUGAGAGGAUGAACAGCCAAACUGGAACUGAGACACGGUCAAGACUCCUACGGGAGGCAGAAGUGGGGAAUAGUGCACAAUGGGCGCAAGCCUGAUGCAGCCAUGCCGCGUGUAUGAAGAAGGCCGGCGGGUUGUAAAGUACGUUCAGCGGGGAGGCGUUACCCGCAGAAGUAGCACCGGCUAACUCCGUGCCAGCAGCCGCGGUAAUUC